AACGCAGCGAAGGGCGAUAAGUAAUGUGAAUUGCAGAAUUCAGUGAAUCAUCGAAUCUUUGAACGCACCUUGCGCUCCUUGGUAUUCUGAGGAGCAUGCCUGUUUGAGUGUCAUGAAGCUCUCAACUGCUUUAGCUUUUUAUGGUUGAAGUGAAGUUGGAUUUGGAGGAAUGAUUAUUGCUGGCGUGACCUUUUCAGGUUGCUCGUUAGCUCCUCUUAAAUGGAUGAACUUUCCAGUAGUAAAAUAACACCAAUGUGAUAAUUAUCUACGUUGGAUGUGCUUUUUACAAGGAAAGAUAUAUCUGUCUUGAAGGCAAACACCUCUUGACGAAACAAAUGACAAAUUUGACCUCAAAUCAGGUAGGACUACCCGCUGAACUUAA
rnacentral:rRNA from 1 species